rnacentral:miRNA from 1 species
AUUUUCUUUUUCAGUUAUAA